AAUUUUGGAUCUGAACUUUGCCAGACAGAUCAUCACUCUGCAUUUCGAAUCUGACACCCCAGGGGCUUUUUGUUUUCCCUGUGUCCAUCUGCUGACAGGAGGAGUUUUAGCUAGUGUUUGGGCUUGCAUAUUAGGACAUGUGGAGAAACAAAUUAGCAGGAGACUCUUCUGGUUUUCUGGCUUGGAUGCUCAUGUUGGAAGACUUCAGUGGAGCCCUUGAGUCGGAUGAAGGCAGCUGGAAUAUAAAGCAAGCCCAAAAAUCUGCUGGUGUUUCCCUGGAGAGUGUUCAAUCCAGAAGACAAGACAGCUGGUGCUAUCCAGGGCCAGAUCUUGCUGUUUUUCUGGGGGAUCCUCAAAGGGAAGGAGGUGAGGGCACAGGCUCUCCCUAGCAGCUGUUGACAGCUUUCUAGUGUGGCUGCAUGCAUCCAGCUCUGUGGG
rnacentral:lncRNA from 1 species